rnacentral:rRNA from 1 species
CGGGGGAGCAAGCGUUGUUCGGAUUUACUGGGCGUAGAGGGCGCGUAGGCGGCCACUGCAAGUCGGUUGUGAAAUCUCCGGGCUUAACCCGGAAAGGUCGACCGAUACUGCAGGGCUAGAGUGCAGAAGGGGCAACUGGAAUUCUCGGUGUAGCGGUGAAAUGCGUAGAUAUCGAGAGGAACACCUGCGGCGAAGGCGGGUUGCUGGGCUGACACUGACGCUGAUGCGCGAAAGCUAGGGGAGCGAACGGGAUUAGAUACCCCGGUAGUCCUAGCCUUAAACGAUGAAUGCUUGGUGUCUGGGGUUUUAUAGUCCCCGGGUGCCGUCGCUAACGCUUUAAGCAUUCCGCCUGGGGAGUACGGUCGCAAGACUG